rnacentral:lncRNA from 1 species
CCGCCUCCUAGACCACCUCCGCCGCCUAGACCGCCUCCACCGCCCAAACCCUUACCGAAACCUUUCUUGUAAAUGCCAUGCUUGUGGAGGAAUGGACGAGGUUUGUGUAAAAAUGGACGAGGUUUGUGGAAAAAGUGUUUGUCGUCGUUAACCUCAACAUUUCCGAACGAAAAUUCAGCGACUAGAGCGAAUACAAAGAUAAACACACACACCUUCCCGGA